UACGUAGGUGGCAAGCGUUGUCCGGAUUUACUGGGCGUAAAGGGAGCGUAGGUGGAUAUUUAAGUGGGAUGUGAAAUACUCGGGCUUAACCUGAGUGCUGCAUUCCAAACUGAAUAUCUAGAGUGCAGGAGAGGAAAGUGGAAUUCCUAGUGUAGCGGUGAAAUGCGUAGAUAUUAGGAAGAACACCAGUGGCGAAGGCGACUUUCUGGACUGUAACUGACACUGAGGCUCGAAAGCGUGGGGAGCGAACAGG
rnacentral:rRNA from 1 species